rnacentral:rRNA from 1 species
GGGGGGGGGGGGGGGGGGGGGGGGGGGGGGGGGGGCGGGCGGGAGGGCCCGGCGGUGGGGGGGUGCUCGGGUGGCGGAGGGGUGGGUAACGCGUGAGUGACCUGCCCUUGACUUUGGGAUAACUUCAGGAAACUGGGGCUAAUACCGGCUAGGAGCUCCUGCUGCAUGGUGGGGGUUGGAAAGUUUCGGCGGUUGGGGAUGGACUCGCGGCUUAUCAGCUUGUUGGUGGGGUAGUGGCUUACCAAGGCUUUGACGGGUAGCCGGCCUGAGAGGGUGACCGGCCACAUUGGGACUGAGAUACGGCCCAGACUCCUACGGGAGGCAGCAGUGGGGAAUAUUGCACAAUGGGCGGAAGCCUGAUGCAGCAACGCCGCGUGCGGGAUGACGGCCUUCGGGUUGUAAACCGCUUUCGCCUGUGACGAAGCGUGAGUGACGGUAAUGGGUAAAGAAGCACCGGCUAACUACGUG